UAGGCAGGGUGUGUGUAUUAGCAGCAGUGUGUGUGCAUAGGCAGCAGUGUGUGCAUAGGCAGCAGUGUGUGCAUAGGCAGCAGUGUGUGUGCAUAGGCAGCAGUGUGUGCAUAGGCAGCAGUGUGUGUGCAUAGGCAGCAGUGUGUGCAUAGGCAGCAGUGUGUGCAUAGGCAGCAGUGUGUGCAUAGGCAGCAGUGUGUGUGCGUAGGCAGCAGUGUGUGCAUUAGCAGCAGUGUGUGCAUUAGCAGCAGUGUGUGUAUAGUAUCAGUGUGUCCAUUGGCAGCUGUGUGUCCAUGGGCAGCAGUGUGUUGGUUUGUUAGGUGGUGAAAGAUUGAUCUGCGUG
rnacentral:lncRNA from 1 species